CAACGAGCGCAACCCACGUCUUUAGUUGCCAGCAUUGAGUUGGGCACUCUAGAGAGACCGCCGGUGAUAAACCGGAGGAAGGUGUGGAUGACGUCAAGUCAUCAUGCCCCUUACAUCCUGGGCUACACACGUACUACAAUGCUACGGACAAAGGGCAGCAAACUCGCGAGAGCUAGCAAAUCCCAUAAACCGUGGCUCAGUUCAGAUCGUAGGCUGCAACUCGCCUACGUGAAGGAGGAAUCGCUAGUAAUCGCAGGUCAGCAUACUGCGGUGAAUACGUUCCCGGGCCUUGUACACACCGCCCGUCACACCAUGGAAGU
rnacentral:rRNA from 1 species